rnacentral:tRNA from 2 species
GUGGUUGUGGCUUAGUGGUAGAGCGCUCACCUAGCAUGUGCAAGGCCCUGGGUUCAAUCCUCAGCACCACA